GUUAAUUUGGCAGAAAAGUGCGUUAGAUUUAGAAUCUUUUUAUGUAUAUUUUAAAUACAUUUAACA
rnacentral:tRNA from 1 species